GCCCGUUUGGCAUAGUGGGUAAGAAAACAAUAUCGCCCUUGUUCGCGGAGAUCAAAGUUAAUGCUUCGUAGUACUGCGUUUCACUCGUAGGCAAAUCCUUGAUAAUGAAAAGAUCCUCGGUUCGAUUCCGAGAAUGGGCA